rnacentral:lncRNA from 1 species
GGAGAAAGAAACGAGAAAUGCAUUUUUAGUUUAGACUCACAGGUCUUUAUCCUUUUUUGAUUUGUAUUUAAAGAACUACAUUUAAAAUAAAGGAGGUAAAGCUUUUGAUAUAAUGAAAAUAUGCAUUUUACAGAGACAAUCAGAAGAAAAAUGCCUGCCUCUCUAGACCGUGAUAUCAAUGGACCCCCAAGAUCUUUCCACACUAACAUGUGACUGCGUAAAGAAGACAAUGCGUUAUUUGCAAGGAAGAUGACAGCAUCAACAAUCUUAUUGACUGAGUGAAAAUGCUAAUAUUAUAUGCCAGUCACACUGCUAAACAAUCUUUAUCAGAAGCCUAUGUAAGAGGUAGUAUUUUAAGCUCAUUUCACAGAAGAUAAUGAGGCCAGGAAUGUUCAUUAACUUGUCCAAAGUCACACAGCAGGUAAGAAGCAGAUUGUAGGAAGCAAUAGAAAAUAUUUAUAAACAUUACCUUAUCUACAAGACUCAAUUCUUAAAACAACUUCCCUGUUGAUAUCCACAGGUAGCCGCGGGUGUGAAGUCCGACACACUCUCUCUGAGAUCCAGCACCUAGUCCAGACCUCUGUAUGGACCCCAUGCCCCUCUUUUCCUGAGACCAACAGGAGAACAUGCCCAGUGGCACAAAACUCGACAUGCUGCAGAGGGAAAAUCUCUAUAUUUCACCAGACAAUCCCAACAAUCUAAGAAGGUGAGUGUUUUCGUCAAAAGGAUGAGAAUAGGGGAAGAAUUUCCAAAAAGCUCCAGUAGGAGGACAACAAUUCUGAUUCGAUUCUUUUUGGGGGAUUUGAUCUGUUAGCAAAGUUACAUUUACCAUGCUAAAUCUGGAUUUAAAAAAUUCAGUAAAAGCUCAGAGGAACUUUUAGAUAUCACAAUGAUAAACUGUGGUUUUAGAGUGGAGUGCGUUAACACUACUUACUUUUUGUAAAGUAAGUAGAGCAUAUAAUAACAUUUUAUUUUACGUUCUCUAUAUUACCUACAUUUUAUUCCUAAAUUAUAUUCCUUUUCUAUUGCUCAUUAGGACUGGAGAGACAACUUUUUUUUACUGGUGCCCUUGAGUUUGCAACAUGCAUUUACAACAAAUUCACAUCUGCUUUCAAAUAACACCAUACUACUUCACAGGUAGUGUGAGUACCUUAUAAUAACAAAAAUAAUCCUAAUCCCUCACUCUUUUCCUUUGUAUCAUUGCUGUCAUUCAUUUUGUUGAUUUGUACACAUAAAUAAGCAUAUAUAUGCAUAUGUAAUCAAACACAUUGUUGCUAUUAUUACUUUGAAC